rnacentral:rRNA from 1 species
ACAAUUUUCAGCGACGGAUAUCUUGGCUAGCACCUAUGAGGGGCGCAGCGAAGUGCGAUAAUCGCUGUGAAUUGCAACUCCGUGAACCAAUGGCCUCUUGAACGUGCAAUGCGCUCUUGGGAUGCCUGAGAGCAUGUCUGCUUCAGUG